rnacentral:rRNA from 1 species
UACAGAGGUCUCGAGCGUUAGGCGGAAUCACUGGGCUUAAAGCGUGUGUAGGCGGAUCGGUAAGUAACUUGUGAAAUCCCACAGCUUAACUGUGGAACUGCUUGGUAUACUGCCAGUCUUGAGCCAGCUAGGGGCUACCGGAACAAAUGGUGGAGCGGUGAAAUGCGUAGAUAUCAUUUGGAACGCCAAUGGUGAAAACAGGUAGCUGGGGCUGUGCUGACGCUGAGACACGAAAGCCAGGGGAGCAAACGGG